CCUACGGGAGGCAGCAGUGGGGAAUCUUCCGCAAUGGGCGAAAGCCUGACGGAGCAACGCCGCGUGAUCGAAUGAAGGCCUUCGGGUUGUAAAGAUCUGUUGACAGGGACGAAUAAGCAAUGCGAAUAGGUUUGUGUAGGACGGUACCUGUUUAGAAAGCUCCGGCUAACUACGUGUCAGCAGCCGCGGUAAUACGUAGGGAGCAAGGGUUGUCCGGAAUUACUGGGCGUAAAGGGGGCGUAGGUGGGCGCUUAAGUCAGUUGUGAAAACUGCGGGCUCAACCUGGAGACUGCACUUGAAACUGGGUGUCUUGAGGGCAGGAGAGGAAAGUGGAAUUCCUAGUGUAGCGGUGAAAUGCGUAGAUAUUAGGAGGAACACCAGUGGCGAAGGCGACUUUCUGGACUGUAACUGACGCUGAGGCGCGAAAGCGUGGGUAGCGAACGGGAUUAGAUACCCGAGUAGUC
rnacentral:rRNA from 1 species